UGGUGAUUGAUCUUGCUCGUCUACAAGAAGAAAAGUAAAUCGCCCAAUAUCGCACAUUAAAGCCACCCCUUAUUUGGCCUGCAACUUCCGCAAUAAGUAUGCCUAAGGAGGCAAGUCCUCCUAUUAAGCACCUAACACCUGCUAAAGCGAAGGCACGAUGAGAUAUGGGUCUAUAUUACAACUGUGAUGAAAAAUUCAGCUCUAGCUAUUGAUGUAGAUCAAAGCUAUUAUUUUUAAUUGAAUGUGACUUUGAUGAU
rnacentral:lncRNA from 1 species